AACGAACGCUGGCGGCAUGCCUAACACAUGCAAGUCGAACGAGACCUUCGGGUCUAGUGGCGCACGGGUGCGUAACGCGUGGGAACCUGCCCUUAGGUUCGGAAUGACUCUCCGAAAGGGGUGCUAAUACCGGACCAUGUCUUCGGCCCAAAGAUUUAUCGCCUUUGGAUGGGCCCGCGUUGGAUUAGCUAGUUGGUAGGGUAAAAGCCUACCAAGGCGACGAUCCAUAGCUGGGUUGAGAGGAUGAUCAGCCACACUGGGACUGAGACACGGCCCAGACUCCUACGGGAGGCAGCAGUGGGGAAUAGUGGACAAUGGGCGAAAGCCUGAUCCAGCAAUGCCGCGUAAGUGAUGAAGGCCGUAGGGUUGUAAAGCUCUUUUACCCGGGAUGAUAAUGACAGUACCGGGAGAAUAAGCUCCGGCUAACUCCGUG
rnacentral:rRNA from 1 species